CCAAAAAUAGUAGACUGUAGACAUGUAUGAUGGGGUAUAGAGUAAAGCUUAGUCAAAUAUGAAUACAAUGUGGGACAUACAUUUCUUACCAUGUAAUUUUCAUUUUUCCCAUAUUUUUAUAGUGCAAUAAUCUAAACCAAGAUAUAUGACAUCCUACCAAAUUGUUCACAAUCGUUUUGAGUAAACAAUUUAAAUUAUAUUUAAAAACGUAACGGAAAGAUCGAAAAUCCAACUCGUUCUUUAAUUUUAUACGACUUUAUGCACUGCUAAGGUUAAUCGUGUUUAAUCAUUUUCAGUUGGAAUACUAGGGAUUGGAUUGGAUAUAUAUAUGGGAAUGUUCAUUUGAGAAGAAAAUUAAAUUGAGAAGAAAAAGAACAAAUGUUACAAUUGUAAAACAUUAAAUAGUUUUCUCUCAUCUUAUUUAUUAUUCUUUUUGACUAAUUAAUUAGUCAUAAAGAUUAUCAUCCUCCACACUAAAAUUUUUGCCUAAACACAUCAAAAUUUAUCCUACACGUGCCUACACAUAUUGAAAUUUAUCUUACACACCUCAUAAUUUAUCCUACACCUUAAAUUAAUUUUUUUCUUCUUUGAAAAGAUAUAUUUUUUUUUUGAAAAUAAGUUACAAAUUUAAUUUAGUUAGCUAUUAAAAAGGAAGACUAACAAUUAAUGAUCUAUCUAAUUUACCAAUAUACCCUUACACCCAUAUUA
rnacentral:lncRNA from 1 species